rnacentral:lncRNA from 1 species
GAUUACAUUAUUGUGUUACAGUAGCAAAGAUAAGCAGACAAAUAAAAAGUAGCUAUUUUCUUUUUCUUUUUUUUUUGUCAAUCUCUGUUUUAUUGAGGCAAAAGGGUAUAUGGUACAGAAUAAAGAAUAGGAAGUGUCAAACAGAGGGUGUAAAGCAUGCACAAUGAACAUAUAUUUUUAUUGGAAACUCCAGCUUAAAACUGCCUACACCCUUUUAUAUUAUCGUAUUCUUUCUUUGAUAUCACUUUUCCCUUACCUUUUACUUUCUCCAUUUUCUUUUCCCUUUCCUUUCUUUUUAGGACAAAAACAAAACAAUACAAGAUGUAUAAAUCAGGUUGAACCAUAGUGUAGCUAUAGGAGUAGUAAAAGUAGCUAUUCUAUCAGUUUAUGUCAACAAUGCACCUCAUGCUUACAAUCUGGCAUAUUAACUAACUAUCCUCAAAGGUUUUAAAGAAGAGGUGAUUUCUAUUAUGCAAGCCAAGAAAUAUUCAAACUGGAGAAUGUACCAGCGCAUCUGGAAGUUUUUUUGUUUUGUUUUUUAAAUUUGUGUAAAAGUCAGAAAGUUGGCCCUCUAUCAGCUACAGACCCUCAAAAUUUGAAGUUUCUGUAUUCAGGCAUAGGUUCAUGUUAUGUCCAGAUUGCUGAUUUUGAAUCGUUGUCUAAAUGCAAUAUAGCCAAUCAUGCCCUGGUCAGAUAAAUUGUUUGUACUAUCCAUAAUAUCAAGCCAAGAUACCUUCUGUCUCACUGGGAUUUAAAUUUGGUACAUUUUGGCUUAUGUUAAAAGGCUUUUCAGUCUUUGCCAGAUAUGUCACGGCAACUGCUAGGAGACAGUUUUUGGGUCACUAUAACUUUAUUUAGAAACAUUUGUGUUAAGCUGUUUGCCUACCUUCCAUCCAAGGUUUUUUUCUUUAAGGGAUCACAUAACCCCUAUGUAGCAAAACACAAAACGGUGUGGCUCUUGUAUGAUAUUUUGUGUAGUCCAUCUAAUUCCAGUUGUGACACUAUCUUCCUCUUGACAAUGUCCAAACAUUGUGGUACUAGCUGUUUUGGUGUUAGUGUAGAUAGUAUAGUUCCCAGAUAUGUUUCAUGCAGUCCCUCUCAUUGGGUCUACUUAAUUUCUAUUGGAGUUCUUUUCUCAUAUUCUGAUCAGACAUUAUUAAUUGAUACUACCUGGAUUAGAAACAACUAAUGGACAUGUUCCUUGUGGAGCAUGCCCUGGAUCACAAAAAUACUCCAAAAUAAGAUGGACAAACUCCUUAAGAAUAUGACUGUAUGAUCAUAGAAUUCAUAUUACGGGUCCAGGAAGUGAACUAACCUACAGCAGAUCAUGGAAAAUGUAUUGGUUUUGGUAGCCCCAAAUAUGUUGUUACCUGUAAUACUUGUCACAGAGAAAGUAUAUUUUGAUAUAUACUCUGGUUUGCACAUUUUGAGGUAUGUUGCCUUAAUAUUCCCACAGACUGCAACAGCAAAAAUAAUUUUUCGAUUGCCAGAGAUAAACUCAUCUUUGCUAAUAGAAUCCAGCUCUUAGGAUGCACCUGAGAGUGCUCCACACAGUUUUCAGAUUAAAGCACACUUGUCAAAUACAUACGCAAACUACCAAAUUGAUGAAAGUUAUGGGAAUGCAUGUAGAAUUUAAAUCAGAUUUACAAAGAAGAAACAGAAUACUUUAGUUGCAUAAAUAUUCAGUUUCUUUAGCUGCUGCAGCCCAAAAUGAGUUCAGCUGCAAAUGAAUUGUUGGAAAGGUUAGACAAUUAGAGAAAUGGUUGUCGCUUGUGUAAUCAAAGCUGUUUAUCUUAUGAAUACGUUACAGGCAAUGUAUGAUUUCAUGCUUCCUGCUGGAUAAUUGCAGAAUGAUUUCUUCUGGGUAACCAGAUGUUAUUCAAACAAUGCCAAACUCUACCAAGACUUUAUGAAGAAAAACAAAACUAAACGCGUUUUUUUACGUCCAGUAUAGGUGCUGCUUAGCAACGAUGCCGGGAUGCUUCACUAAAGACCAUACUAAACCUAACCUGUAGCUUUAUUCCAACAUAGAAAAUGUUCAACAUUUUGUGAUGGGAUUCCAGCAUGGUCAAAAUUUAGUAGGCCAAAAUCUCCAUGUGCCAUAUGUGUAUGUUGUGUCAGUUGGUUAGCUACAUGUAGCUAGGAUACUGUCAUCAGUGUACUGAGCAUGUGCAGGAAUGCAGGAACUGGAAUUGCACUUAUUUCCUUUGUCUUGGAUGAGCCAUGUGGUUUGACUAGAUGUACAAGUCUAUAUUCUGCUCAUUGAUUGGUUAAAGGUAUAUGUGGGUGUAGCUAUUAAUGGGAGGAGUUAUAGUGCUAUAUAAGGAAUGUACACUAUGUGUUGGUCUCUCAGAAUGUUGGAACAGGAGUUCAUCUGAGACCCGAUCGGUAAUGUGAAUAAAGGCCUCUUACUUCCUGAAGAAACCUGUGUCCAUAUCUCUGUGUUUGGCUUCUGCAUGCUUACACUGCAACAUUUC